rnacentral:snRNA from 1 species
UUCCGGUUGAAUCACGUAUUAU